rnacentral:piRNA from 2 species
CACUCAGUAAGGCAUUGUUC